UGGGUUGUACCCUUUUCUUUACAUACCACGUGUACUCAGCUCAUGGUUUUAGGGAAAACCAUCAAUCAGACCCUUGCUCCUGAUCAGAUAGAGGGAGGGCGAUAGAAAGAUUAUAGAAAGAGAGAGGGAAUCGAUUCCAUAGUGGUUUGAUGGCGGUUGAUUGAGCCGGAGCUGCGGAGACGGUGGCCGUUGAUCGCUGCGUUUGUUUAUUAGGUGAGGUGAGAUCACGUCGCAACACUGGGAGGUACACCUUUAAGGUGAUACGGUUGAAGACUCAUUAGUCAAUUUUCUCCAUUUAGGGUCCGUUCCGGCACAAUAGAUCGGAAACCACAAACCUUGUGUCAGGGGGCAAGAGAAAGAGAGAGAAAGACCUUACGGUGUACGGAAAGAAAGAAAGACAAAGACAAGCGGUGGGGUUUAGGGUUCCGGCCUUUUUCAAAAAGAGAGAACGGUGUAGCGGCUCCGGAAUAGAGAGGGAGAGAGAUAGGAGGGUGACAUUUCAGAAUCCCGAUCUGCUGUUGAAAGACGCAAGGAAGCAGGUGCCCACUUGAGUUGGUUGUUUCCUCUGUCGCUUUCAAGGCAGCGCCCACUUCCAAUUUCAUCAGCAAGCAAGCAAUUGGUCGGGAAAUUCAACCAAGACCCAAGAAAGGCUCCAGGCGACUCAUGCGGCUACAAAUGAUUCAUGAAGCUAAGCCUCAAUGAAGAUUCAAGCUUCUGAUCUGGAAUGACAACGCAAGAAGAUUUCAAAUUUCAACAUUGAAAAAUGAAAUUUGGUACACGAAUAAAAAUGUAUUGAAAUAUUGUUUGGGGAAUUUUCGGGAUUGCUUUUCAUAUCACGGUUCAACCAUGGUGUGUAGAAGGAUGUCACCUUCCUUAUCAUAAAGCUUGAUGUUUGAGGGUGAUUAUAUCAAAUGGGAAAAGAAAAGAAAUCUCAUUCAAUGGAAGUUGCUUCUGUAUAAAAGUGGAGAUUAUAUAUAGGUAUCCUUCUUUAAUAACAUAUUAAGUUAUGUAGGUAGGCUUUACAGGUUAUCCUAUUGUAUAGUUAUGUUUGACCCAUAAUAAGUUUAUCAUUUUCGAAUUGGGUCUUAGUUUUAGGUCUAUUGGUCUAUUUAUUUCGCAUUGUAUCUCAUUGUAUGGCUGCACAUAUAAAUAUACAAUUUAAGGUUAACCAAGUUAUGGUUUACUUUUCAUGAACUCAAA